rnacentral:rRNA from 1 species
UUGAACGCUGGCGGCAGGCCUAACACAUGCAAGUCGAACGGUAACAGGAAGAAGCUUGCUUCUUUGCUGACGAGUGGCGGACGGGUGAGUAAUGUCUGGGAAACUGCCUGAUGGAGGGGGAUAACUACUGGAAACGGUAGCUAAUACCGCAUAACGUCGCAAGACCAAAGAGGGGGACCUGCGGGCCUCUUGCCAUCGGAUGUGCCCAGAUGGGAUUAGCUAGUAGGUGGGGUAACGGCUCACCUAGGCGACGAUCCCUAGCUGGUCUGAGAGGAUGACCAGCCACACUGGAACUGAGACACGGUCCAGACUCCUACGGGAGGCAGCAGUGGGGAAUAUUGCACAAUGGGCGCAAGCCUGAUGCAGCCAUGCCGCGUGUAUGAAGAAGGCCUUCGGGUUGUAAAGUACUUUCAGCGGGGAGGAAGGGAGUAAAGUUAAUACCUUUGCUCAUUGACGUUACCCGCAGAAGAAGCACCGGCUAACUCCGU